CCUACGGGAGGCUGCAGUGGGGAAUAUUGCACAAUGGGCGCAAGCCUGAUGCAGCCAUGCCGCGUGUGUGAAGAAGGCCUUCGGGUUGUAGAGCACUUUCAGCGGGGAGGAAGGCGGUGAGGUUAAUAACCUCAUCGAUUGACGUUACCCGCAGAAGAAGCACCGGCUAACUCCGUGCCAGCAGCCGCGGUAAUACGGAGGGUGCAAGCGUUAAUCGGAAUUACUGGGCGUAAAGCGCACGCAGGCGGUCUGUCAAGUCGGAUGUGAAAUCCCCGGGCUCAACCUGGGAACUGCAUUCGAAACUGGCAGGCUAGAGUCUUGUAGAGGGGGGUAGAAUUCCAGGUGUAGCGGUGAAAUGCGUAGAGAUCUGGAGGAAUACCGGUGGCGAAGGCGGCCCCCUGGACAAAGACUGACGCUCAGGUGCGAAAGCGUGGGGAGCAAACAGGAUUAGAUACCCGGGUAGUC
rnacentral:rRNA from 1 species